UGGGGAAUAUUGCACAAUGGGCGCAAGCCUGAUGCAGCCAUGCCGCGUGUGUGAAGAAGGCCUUCGGGUUGUAAAGCACUUUCAGCGAGGAGGAAGGUGGUGAGCUUAAUACGCUCAUCAAUUGACGUUACUCGCAGAAGAAGCACCGGCUAACUCCGUGCCAGCAGCCGCGGUAAUACGGAGGGUGCAAGCGUUAAUCGGAAUUACUGGGCGUAAAGCGCACGCAGGCGGUUUGUUAAGUCAGAUGUGAAAUCCCCGGGCUCAACCUGGGAACUGCAUUUGAAACUGGCAAGCUAGAGUCUCGUAGAGGGGGGUAGAAUUCCAGGUGUAGCGGUGAAAUGCGUAGAGAUCUGGAGGAAUACCGGUGGCGAAGGCGGCCCCCCUGGACGAAGACUGACGCUCAGGUGCGAAAGCGUGGGGCAGCAAACAGGAUUAGAUACCCUGGUAGUCCACGCUGUAAAACGAUGUCGAUUUGGAGGUUGUGCCCUUGAGGCGUGGCUUCCGGAGCUAACGCGUUAAAUCGACCGCCUGGGGAGUACGGCCGCAAGGUUAAAACUCAAAUGAAUUG
rnacentral:rRNA from 1 species